rnacentral:rRNA from 1 species
AACGAACGCUGGCGGCAGGCUUAACACAUGCAAGUCGAACGCCCGUAGCAAUACGGGAGUGGCGGACGGGUGAGUAACGCGUGGGAACGUGCCCUGAGGUACGGAAUAACUGCGGGAAACUGCAGCUAAUACCGUAUGAGCCCCGCAAGGGGGAAAGAUUUAUCGCCUUAGGAGCGGCCCGCGGCGGAUUGGCUAGUUGGUGGGGUAACGGCUUACCAAGGCUUCGAUCCGUAGCUGGUCUGAGAGGACGAUCAGCCACACUGGGACUGGGACACGGCCCAGACUCCUACGGGAGGCAGCAGUGGGGAAUCUUGCGCAAUGGGGGCAACCCUGACGCAGCCAUGCCGCGUGAAUGAUGAAGGCCUUAGGGUUGUAAAGUUCUUUUGCCCGUGACGAUGAUGACGGUAACGGGAGAAUAAGCUCCGGCUAACUUCGUGCCAGCAGCCGCAGUAACAC